UUUUAUUUCAGGUACUACCAGGCUCUGUUUCCCAGACCUUGGACUGCCAUAUUAGGACAGUGGCUCCACCUGGUUCAGCUUUCCUGAAAGGGAGAGAAGACAAAGAUCUUAGAGCCCAAACAGAAGAGAAGGAUUUCUGUCUUCAUUUUUACAAAUGAGAAACUGAGGCAAACGAGUCAUGAAGUGCUGUGUCCAGAUUGCAUGGAGACGGUGUAAUAGAGCCAGAAAAUGUAUUGUGCUAUCUUCCUGUCAAAGAGAUGUGUUGCUUUCCUGACCUUACUGUUAUGGAAACCUUGCGUGAGGAAAAUGUCAUUGUUCGGGACAACACAGAAGUCAAAUGAAUUCUCCGUGACUUGUGCAAAUGUUUGAAGUUAAAUGUGAACUUCUCUGUGACACAAAGGAGGCAUCCUGCCUUGUGCGUUGUGAGGAGUGGGUUCUGAAAAGCUCCAUCCAAAGUGGGAAUGAUUGACCUAUUCCUUGCUUCAUUCACUUGUGUGACUACCACAGCUACUACUGUUUCCUGUAAGAAACCAUGGAGUUGCAUGUUGAAUAUUUACCAGCUCAAAUAGCACAUAGGCAGUCAUGCCUUAGUAACAGUCGGAAGAACCAACUUAAGACUGACACAUUUCUGUCAUGAACAGUCCCCGUCAAGAACCUCCACCAACAGGGCUACUCUAACUUUGCUAUGUCUUAUCACCUCUAGCUGCAGGUAAGCCCAUUUCUCGUCCUACUCCCCAAGGACACAGAAGAGAUUAUUCCCUUCUUUGAAUUUGCCUUUUACUUAUUUUGAGACCCUGUCCUCCCUCAGACACAUACACAGAGAGACUAAUGCUAGUGCCCAGCCAAGAUGAUUCUUAAAACCGU